rnacentral:tRNA from 1 species
UUUAAUAUGGCAGAUUAGUGCUUUGAAUUUAAAAUUCAAUUAUAAAGAUUUAUUCUUUUAUUAAAA